GACGCAGGCCGCCUUAUCGCUGAGACCCUUGCUUUUGCGAGGGUUUAAGAGGAAAGUCCGGGCACCAAAGGGAAGCAUAGCGGCUAACAGCCGUCGGGAUCCCCGCUUACGCGAGGAUUUCAGGACAAGUGCAACAGAAAGAAUGUACAGGUAAUGCUGUAGUGAAAUCAGGUAAACUCUAUGCGGUGAAAUGCCACGUAAACCUGUGACCCGAUAGCUAUCGGGAGAGGGUUCCCGCCCGAUGCAGGAGGGUAGGCAGAUUGAGCGUGUGGGUAACUACACGUCUAGAUAAAUGAUAAGGUGCCGAACUAGUUUCGGUAACAGAACCCGGCUUAUAGGCCUGCUUUUUUU
rnacentral:RNase_P_RNA from 1 species